CGAGCUUGGGGGCCCUUCUGGAGGGGCUGCAAGUUGGCCUGACGUGAACUGCUUGUGAGCUGUGGGAGCUGCAUGGCCUGCAUGUGCACAGGCACCCGGGCAAGGCUGAGGACGGGUCCAGAGGAGAGGGGCUGCCCGGAGCCACCCUUGGGAACUCGUCUGGAUUUUGCUUGUAUGUGGGUGUCUUCUAAAAGGAAGCCUCUGAAGAAGCUUGUGGGUUGAGGUCUUGGAUCUUGUGUGUUUUUCUCUAAAAGUCAAGUCUACCCGAGAGCAAAGUUGUAUUUCCUGGGAACCUGGGGUAGAUGCCACGGAUUCUGGGGGUAAGGACAGCUGCUGGUUUAAGCCAACUAUGGCGACAUGUCUCGGUAGGGUAGGGCUCGCAGGCUUUGCUGGGGGACAAGUUUCUAAGUUGCAACAAGCAGUUCUUAAAGGUUUCACAGAAUUCCCUUUGGUCUAGACCCAAGGGCUUUUCCGUUUGGAAACUGCCUCUGCCGAGUCCAGGUACGGAAUCAUUUCUCCGGAGUCAGAAGCACUGAGGUUAGAACCUGAUCUCUCUCUGGGCUGGUGCACCCGGAAGUCACCGGUCUGAAGUUUGCCGUGGCCGUGCUGAAGGUUCUCGUUUGUUUUGGGCUAAGGCUGACGUCCUGGUCGUGCUGUACCUGGCAGGGUUGGACUCGAGGAGGUGUGCAGGACCCCGCAGUCCUCCUGUCCCGGGCACUGCGGAAAGGCUGCUGGAGGGAGGGACACGUUUCCAGAGGGCAGUGCUGAGGGCGCACUUGGCUGAGGUCUUGACUAAGUUACCUGAUCUCGGGUGUUGAGAAGAGGGUUGGUGUCGUUGAGUCCUGUGGCUGCUUUAAGGUUAGGAACGAGGAACCAUCUUUGUCAACUAGAAAUUUAGGGAGUAAGGCUGAUAAGCUAUUUCAGAACCAUCUGACUUCAAAAAAGUCCUUUAUGUCCCUUAUGGUCCUUUAUGAUCUUGUGCUCCACGGACCAGUAUCACAUGGAAACAACUUAGAAUGACUCAUACCCCAGGCCCUCUAAUAGUUGAACAAAAUUGAGCUUGAGAAUACGGGUUGGACGGAAGUGAUGCCAAACUGGACUGAAGGGUCUCCGACCUUGGGCAUAUAAAUUGGGAAGAGUAGGAAGGGAACCAGGCAUCGGUCACACAGACACAUGGUUGUUGCGAUGCUGUCAUGAGUCGUGAUGUAGGGGUUAUCCUUCCUUUUAUGGGUGCAGGUGAGUGCCAAGGCUCAGAAGUGAAGGGACUUGCUGAAGCCCCUACCCCUACUCCCCCAGCAAGUGGAGAGCACAAAUUGGGUGCACUGAGAGAACAAGGUGCAGUAUGCCGAGUUUUUCUGAAAAAGUUGGGGCCACAUGAGAUUAAAACCCUGCUUGGGUGAAGCGAGGUUGCGGGGCCCAGUGCAGCCACCAUCUGCUUCCCUAAUUUGGUCUGAAAACCUGAAGCUUACAAGUUAGGCAGGAGGUUCUGGAGCUGGACAGGCCUGAAUCCUGACCAUGAAGCCCUCUAGCUGUGACCUUGGGUUAAUCCUGGGACCUAAUGCGGACAGCUUCCCGUGAUAAAAGGUAUGUUGAGGAUGGAGGCUGGGGCAGACCUGGAGUCGAGAUCAGUUGAGCCAUUUAAAACAAGCGUCAGACCGGUGCUGACCCGGCGGCUGGCACGUGGGGCAGGGUAAGGAACGGGCGUCCUAUCUGACCGAGAGGGGGACCCGACCCACCUGACGUCCCGAGACUGCUGCUGCUUUCUGUCCCAUGACUUCCGGAGCCUUGUGUCCUGUGCACUCCAGCCGAUGGGAAGGCUGCGGCCCCUUCCCGGGGGGUGGGUCCCGGUGCAUGUGCUCGGGGAGCCAAAGGAGGAUCCCAGGCCAGUCUUAAGUCCCACGAACAGCUUAUGCCUGCAGGCCGGGUGCCCCCCCCACAGCUCUCCAUCCCAGCACCUCCGCUCCAUCAGCAGACCGCAUGUGAGCUUCGGCGAUGGGCCCAAGGCCGGUCGGUUAUUUUGUGCCCACCGGCAGUGGGCUUGGCAAGGACCUGGGCAGGGCACAGCUUGGGCUCCAGAGCUGGCGGGCUCUCCGCCAAUUGCUGCCUGCAGUGUUCCCCAAACCUUACUUCCUGCCCUCCACCCCAGCCCUCCUCCCUGUGGGCCUUCAGGGGAUGCUUGGCUGGCAAGCUUCAGUGAAGUUGACAUGGCUUGUUUUCUGCACCAGAAUGAACCAUCCGGGGUUUUAUUGCAGGGUGGGCAUGGGGUUGGGUGGCACGUUUGUCUGCUCGGAGGCAGAGGUGGCAUGCCACAGGGCCCGGAGGGUGUGAGGAGAGCAAGGGUGUUUGGAGGGUCGGGGAGGGGGGAAGAGGAAGGAACUGAUGAAUCACUAGCACAGCCGUUGCAAAAUAGGUUAAUUUUUGAAAAGUGAAAAAUGACAAUAGCAAAACUGGUUACUUCUGACAAGAUCCCCACACAGAGGAGCAGAGCCCUCAGGGCUCAGAAAAGAAGGUGUGCGCUCCAGCUCCGGUCCGCGCCUUCUCGUGGGCUGCUGGCACGGCCGGGGUUUCCUCCUUUCCCUGGAGUCUCGGGAAACGAGCUCCCCCAACCCCGUGUCUCCCUGAGGCGCGUUCGCCGGUGCUCCCCGGGCCGGGCCGGGCUCAGGAGGCCGUGGAGGAGCAGCGCUGCAGCAGCAGCGUGUGGCAGCCAUCGCACACGCGCACCGGCCGGGGGUACGAGGGCAGGGCCAGCUCGUUGCCGGAGCACGUGCUGCAGAAGAUGUGGCCGCAGUUGCGGCAGUGGUGCUGGAGGGCGGAGAAGAGGCCCCGUGAGCUCACCUGCCCCGGCCGCCUCGGCCCCAGACCUCGUUACGUUUAUGCUGCUAUAAAGUUAGUGCUGGGGGAGAGGUGGGCUUCCCCAAGCUCUUCAAGCUAGGACUUGACCGAGGGCUGGUAACCUGUGGUACAAAGGGCCCCGAUGAUUCCCUUUAAUCGCCGCCUUCCCUGGUGGCCUCCCACUGUCUAAGACGGGCUGCUGGGAACCUCCGUGUAGGUCCUGGGCUCCCUGGGUGCUUGGGCAGCGCCCCCUCGGCACACCCCAUCGGGCAGGGCCAAGGCUCUGAGGAGUGGCCUCCGGAAGGGCUUGUGGGCAAGGCACUGCCUGGAAUUUGGGGGAAGUUUUGCUCAUUUUCCAGAGACUGUUACUGUGAGCAGAUGAGAAUGUGGGAGGGGAUGGGAGGGUUGACACUGCAGCAGGUUAUCUCCCUGGUCUUCAAAUGACAGCCCCCAAUUGUGCCCACUACCCAAGCUCAGUCAAUUCUGCACCCAAGGGUGGGCCGUCCCCGGAACCCGAAGGCGGGCGACGGGCCGACAGUGGCCCGCCACUCUGGGAUCAGCCCCUCGGCAGCCGUGUGGCGUCGGGUCGCUAGGCCACAUCCUGCUGCUCAGAGAACCUGCGCCACGUGUGGCCCUGAGAGGAAAAACACCCGAGCAUCCCGUUUCAGGGCUUGGUCCUUGCUGGACAGUCGGCUGUCUGCCCCUUCCUGCUGCCAUCUCGGUUUCCUUCUGAGGAACUGCCCCUUCCUACUAGGCGUGGCCUCCCGGGACUAACAAAGGGGACACAACGGUUGGAGUUGACGUGUCCUGGCCCGAGCGCCUGCCCUCUGCUCCAGCCUCUCGCAGGACUCCAGCCCCUGCUAACCCGAGACCCCUGAGACCCUCUUAUUCAAUAAAGGCCGUUUGGCUGAGGUCA